rnacentral:rRNA from 1 species
AGUGAACGCUGGCGGUAGGCCUAACACAUGCAAGUCGAACGGCAGCACAGGAGAGCUUGCUCUCUGGGUGGCGAGUGGCGGACGGGUGAGGAAUACAUCGGAAUCUACUCUGUCGUGGGGGAUAACGUAGGGAAACUUACGCUAAUACCGCAUCCGACCUACGGGUGAAAGCAGGGGCUCUUCGGACCUUGCGCGAUUGAAUGAGCCGAUGUCGGAUGAGCUAGUUGGCGGGGUAAAGGCCCACCAAGGCGACGAUCCGUAGCUGGUCUGAGAGGAUGAUCAGCCACACUGGAACUGAGACACGGUCCAGACUCCUACGGGAGGCAGCAGUGGGGAAUAUUGGACAAUGGGCGCAAGCCUGAUCCAGCCAUACCGCGUGGGUGAAGAAGGCCUUCGGGUUGUAAAGCCCUUUUGUUGGGAAAGAAAUCCAGCUGGCUAAUACCCGGUUGGGAUGACGGUACCCAAAGAAUAAGCACCGGCUGACUUCGUGCCAGCCGCCGCCGUAA